rnacentral:lncRNA from 1 species
GUAAUUCUAUUUCAAAUUAAUAAAAUAGACGACAUAAGAAAUCAGAAAAAUAAUAGAAAAAGGUAUUUGCGUAAACAUUCGAAAUUUACAAGUAUUGCUAUCAACCUAGCAAAAAUUUAGGCCUAUAAGCUAAUAGGUUUGCAACUUUGAUCCAUUCGUUGGAUAUAUAAAUUUUCGUUUGCACAAAAAAUACAAUUAUUACUUCACUGGAGUUACGCUAUAUACACAUUAUUAUCAGAAGACAAUUGUAGACCCUUUCUAUAAAAACAUCGGCCAAUCUAUCUUAUCUUUACAUAUAUAUUUCUUAUCAUAAUAGAUUCUAUUUCGAA